rnacentral:rRNA from 1 species
GACGAACGCUGGCGGCGUGCUUAACACAUGCAAGUCGAACGGAAAGGCCCUGCUUUUGUGGGGUGCUCGAGUGGCGAAAGGGUGAGUAACACGUGAGUAACCUGCCCUUUACUUUGGGAUAACUUCAGGAAACUGGGGCUAAUACCGGAUAGGAGCUCCUGCUGCGUGGGGGGGGUUGGAAAGUUUCGGCGGUUGGGGAUGGACUCGCGGCUUAUCAGCUUGUUGGUGGGGUUGUGGCUUACAAAGGCUUCGACGGGUAGCCGGCCUGAGAGGGUGACCGGCCACAUUGGGACUGAGAUACGGCCCAGACUCCUACGGGAGGCAGCAGUGGGGAAUAUUGCACAGUGGGCGGGAGCCUGAUGCAGCAACGCCGCGUGCGGGAUGCCGGCCUUCGGGUUGUAAACCGCUUUCGCCUGUGACGAAGCGUGAGUGACGGUAAUGGGUAAAGAAGCACCGGCUAACUACGUG